rnacentral:rRNA from 1 species
CAGUGCCGCGGUAAUACGAAGGGGGCCGGCGUUGUUCGGAUUUACUGGGCGUAAAGGGUGCGUAGGCGGACUGAUAAGUCAGGGGUGAAAUCCCAAGGCUCAACCUUGGAACUGCCUUUGAUACUGUUAGUCUUGAGUUCGAGAGAGGUGAGUGGAACUGCGAGUGUAGAGGUGAAAUUCGUAGAUAUUCGCAAGAACACCAGUGGCGAAGGCGGCUCACUGGCUCGAAACUGACGCUGAGGCACGAAAGCGUGGGGAGCAAACAGGAUUAGAUACCCGCGUAGUCCCUGUCUCUUAUACA